rnacentral:rRNA from 1 species
GGGGGAAUAUUGCACAAUGGGGGAAACCCUGAUGCAGCGACGCCGCGUGAACGAAGAAGGUAUUCGUAUCGUAAAGUUCUGUCCUAUGGGAAGAUAAUGACAGUACCAUAGAAGAAAGCUCCGGCUAAAUACGUGCCAGCAGCCGCGGUAAUACGUAUGGAGCGAGCGUUGUCCGGAAUUAUUGGGCGUAAAGGGUACGCAGGCGGUUUAAUAAGUCGAAUGUUAAAGAUCGGGGUUCAACCCCGUAAAGCAUUGGAAACUGAUAAACUUGAGUAGUGGAGAGGAAAGUGGAAUUCCUAGUGUAGUGGUGAAAUACGUAGAUAUUAGGAGGAAUACCAGUAGCGAAGGCGACUUUCUGGACACAAACUGACGCUGAGGUACGAAAGCGUGGGGAGCAAACAGG